UCCCAGGAGGACUAGUGGUUAGGCCUCAGCGCUCCCUCCGCCAUGGCCCGGGUUUGAUACCCGGUCAGAGAA